GGUGGCUCAGAAGAAGGAAAUGGGAUAUGCUUAUUCUCUCAAGCAGUAGCCCAACACUUAGGAAAACGACACGUAUACUUCCCAUUUUUAAAAGGACCUCUUCCCACUCGUGGCUGUUCCGGGCCUGCUCUCGUGUGGCCGCAGGGGAAGGAGAAGGGGUGUUCCCUUUGGCUGGACUCCUUCUUGAAAUGGCCAAACCUGCCUCCCUCUCUCAAGAAGCACAGCAAGCCUUCGGGAACCCAGGAACUUGGGGCGUGCAAGCCAUUUGGAGCACAGUCUUCUCUCCUCUUCUGUCUUCUCAAGGACCUAGCCACCGACAGUUUGUCUUCAGACUUUAGGAAGAAGUCAGACACCAGUCCCUUUGUCCCUGAAACUCCGCAAGCUGUACCAAACUCCCCAGGUGGUCCUCUUGAAGUGCCCCCUCAUUUGGCAUGAAGCAAAGAGGGAGCACCCCCCACCCUCCCCUGCUUGGGGAGAAGGGGAAACGUCCAGCAUACAGACAGCUACUUCCAAAGAAAUCCUCUCACAUUCUCUUCCAUAGCCUGAGGUGGGUGCCGAGCUAAUCCUUCCCAGUAUUGAGCUAGUGCUUCCCGGGGUCCAUUUCACAACCUCUUAGGGUGGGUGCAUAGGUGAUCUGGCUCCUCCUCCCUUUAGAAUGUGGACAGAUUGGCGCCUAUGGUUUUGUUCUCAGCCUUUGGGUUUUCUGGUGAAACUGACACAGAAAGAGUCCCGUUUUAGUAAAUGAAGUCACCACUGUCAA